rnacentral:rRNA from 2 species
UGACCUCGAAUCAGGUAGG